CAGGGAUUGCCUCAGUAACGGCGAGUGAAGCGGCAAUAGCUCAAAUUUGAAAGCUGGCUCACGCCCGCGUUGUAAUUUGUAGAGGAUGCUUCGGAUGCGGUGCCGGUCUAAGUUCUUUGGAACAGGACGUCAUAGAGGGUGAGAAUCCCGUAUGUGACUGGUGGCCUGCGUCUAUGUGAAGCUCCUUCGACGAGUCGAGUUGUUUGGGAAUGCAGCUCUAAAUGGGUGGUGUACUUCAUCUAAAGCUAAAUAUUGGCUGGAGACCGAUAGCGCACAAGUAGAGUGAUCGAAAGAUGAAAAGCACUUUGGAAAGAGAGUUAAAUAGUACGUGAAAUUGUUGAAAGGGAAGCGCUUGCAAUCAGACUUGCGCUGCGUCGAUCAACCUGGGUUCUCCCUGGUGCACUCGGCGCAGCUCAGGCCAGCAUCAGUUUCGGCGGUUGGAUAAAGGCCUGGAGAACGUGAGUUGCUUCGGCGACUGUUAUAGCUCCAGGUGCAAUGCAGCCAGCUGGGACUGAGGACCGCGCUUCGGCUAGGAUGCUGGCGUAAUGGUUGUAAGCGACCCGU
rnacentral:sRNA from 1 species